CUCCAGAGGAAGUCGCGCGCGUUUUCCGUCCGGCCUUUCCCGGCGGCCGGAGAUUACCGAGCAGCUCGCGGAAAUUGCCGAGGGCGCCGCCAUAUUUUGCUGAAGGGGGCCUCCGAGGGCAGUUGUGUUUUGAGGUGGAGGAGCCUCCCCGGCUGAGGAGGGUUUUUCCUAAAAUUUAUUUUCAGCACCAUGCUGCGACUCCCUGCUAUCCACAAGACUUUAGUUGGUGUUACCCGAACUGCUACGGGCUGUGUGCGCACCACCUCUACAGCAACUAGCAACCUGAUAGAAGUUUUUGUUGAUGGUCAUCCUAUUAUGGUACCUCCAGGAACCACAGUACUUCAGGCCUGUGAAAAGGUUGGAAUGCAAAUCCCUCGGUUUUGCUAUCACGACAGAUUGUCUGUGGCUGGAAAUUGCAGGAUGUGUCUUGUGGAGAUAGAGAAAGCCCCCAAGCCUGUUGCUGCUUGUGCCAUGCCAGUCAUGAAGGGUUGGAACAUUCUGACAAAUUCUGAGAAGUCCAGGAAAGCAAGAGAAGGCGUAAUGGAGUUCUUGUUGGCUAACCAUCCAUUGGACUGUCCCAUCUGUGAUCAGGGAGGGGAGUGUGACCUUCAGGAUCAGUCAAUGAUGUUUGGCAGCGAUAGGAGCAGAUUUCUGGAAAGCAAACGUGCUGUUGAAGACAAGAAUAUUGGCCCUCUUGUGAAAACUAUCAUGACCCGGUGUAUACAAUGUACGCGAUGCAUCAGGUUUGCAAGUGAAAUUGCAGGGGUUGAUGAUCUAGGAACCACAGGAAGAGGAAAUGAGAUGCAAGUUGGCACUUACAUUGAAAAAAUGUUUAUGUCUGAAUUGUCAGGCAAUGUGAUUGAUAUUUGCCCAGUGGGUGCCCUUACGUCCAAGCCUUAUGCAUUUACUGCUCGACCCUGGGAAACCAGGCAUACAGAGUCUAUUGAUGUUCUUGAUGCAGUAGGAAGUAACAUCGUGGUAAACACACGAACUGGAGAAGUGAUGAGAAUUUUGCCAAGAUUACAUGAAGGUAUCAACGAGGAGUGGAUUUCUGAUAAAACAAGAUUUGCAUAUGAUGGCCUGAAACGUCAGCGACUUACUGAGCCAAUGAUAAAAAAUAAAGAAGGGCUGUUCACUUACGUAUCUUGGGAAGAAGCCUUGAGCUGUGUAGCAAGUGCAUUUCAAGGCAGUCAAGGUAACGAGGUAGCUGCAAUUGCAGGAGGACUGGUGGAUGCAGAAGCGCUAGUAUCGCUCAAAGACUUGCUGAAUAGAAUGAACUCGGAUAAUAUAUGCACUGAAGAGGCUUUCCCUGCUGCAGGAGCUGGAAUAGAUCUGCGAUCUAACUACUUACUUAAUACCAAGAUUGCAGGAGUGGAAGAGGCAGAUUUCCUACUUCUGGUUGGCACCAAUCCACGCUUUGAGGCACCAUUAUUUAAUGCAAGGAUUAGAAAAAGCUGGCUACAAAAUGAGCUAAAAGUGGCUCUUGUUGGCAGCCCAGUUGAUUUGACUUACAAUUAUGAUCAUCUGGGAGAUUCCCCACAGAUACUGUUAGACAUUGCUUCAGAGAAACAUCCAUUCAGCAAGGUCCUGAGCCAGGCUAAAAAGCCAAUGGUGGUGGUGGGCAGUGCUGCGCUGCAACGUGGGGAUGGAGCAGCUAUUCAUUCAGCCGUUUCUACUAUUGCACAAAAUAUUAGGGCAAAAAGUGGAGUAGAUGCUGACUGGAAAAUUAUGAACAUUCUUCAUAGAGUGGCAAGCCAAGUAGCUGCUCUUGACCUAGGUUACAAACCAGGAGUGGAUGGAAUCAGGAAGAACCCUCCGAAAGUGCUGUAUCUCUUAGGGGCUGAUGUAGGCUGUAUUACCCGGCAAGAUUUGCCUAAGAAUUGCCUUAUCGUCUAUCAGGGUCACCAUGGUGAUACUGGAGCUUCUAUGGCUGAUGUAAUUCUUCCAGGAGCAGCUUAUACAGAAAAGGCUGCAACCUAUGUAAAUACCGAAGGCAGAGCUCAGCAAACCAGAGUAGCAGUGACACCACCUGGCAUGGCAAGAGAGGACUGGAAAAUUAUUAGAGCAAUCUCUGAGCUGGCUGGUGUGACCCUCCCUUAUGACAACCUUGAUCAAGUGAGGAGGAGAUUAGAAGAAGUGUCCCCUAACUUGGUCCGAUACGAUGAUGUGGAAGAAGCCAACUACUUUAUUCAAGCAAAUGAGUUGUCCAAGUUAUGUUCCCUUUUACUGUACAUAUUUAUCUAGCUAUAAUAUUGUGUCGUACUGAAACAUGUAAUGUACCAUGUGACAAGUGGGUAACAACUUUCUCAAGGUGACUGCUCCAUUACACCAUUUGGCCAUAAAAACUUCAAGAUAGUUACUUUUCAUAUAAACUAUUAUUAUAUUAAAAAAUCAUUGAUCUUUCUGCCUUAAGCUUACAUAAAAAUAUCCUAGUAUUGUACAAUAACAUGCCAGGUUUAGAAGGUUUGUAUUAUAUCAUGGAAACCUUACGUAACUAUUCUGUUUUCCAUGACUUUCUCCUGGAUUUUCCUUAGAGCCGUUUAAAAAAAAAUUUUUUUUUCAAAGACUUUUUUUCUUUCUUCUAUCAUAUGAAGCAUUCCAGGAUAUAAUGAAUUUUUGUUUUGUUUUUGUGGUUCAACUUACAGAUAUCUAUUGGGAGAGAGAAAUUUGCUAAUAUUUGCCAUUCUUUCCUUAAAUUAUAGAUUGUGAAUCAGAAACUUCUUGCUGUUCCUCUUGUUCCUCCUCAGCUUACAGUUAAAGACUUUUAUAUGACAGAUCCAAUAAGUAGAGCUUCGCAGACAAUGGCAAAAUGUGUGAAAGCAGUUACACAGGGCGCCAAAGCAAUUGAAGAACCUUCCAUUUGCUAAAGAAUGAAAUCCAGAGUCCAUCAGACACUAUUGCAAUCAAUUUAUAUUUUUAAAUAAGGAACUGUUGUGUGUGGUCUUUUUUUUGUUCCUAUUUUCUUUAUGGAAACAAGUGAAAGUUGUUAAGGCCAGUUCUCUAGUAUGCAUAUGAUAAUUAUGUUCAGCACCAUUUACCAUACAAAGAUAUUAUGUAUACUGAUUGUAUACAAACAGGGUGUAAAAUUAAAAGUAUUACAUAACCAAGA